rnacentral:rRNA from 1 species
CAUGCAGUCGACGGGGAAAUUGAGCUUGCUUAAUUUUCCUAGUGGCGGACGGGUGUAGUAACACGUGGGUAACCUGCCCUAUGAUGGGGGAUAACAGAAAGAAAUUUCUGCUAAUACCGCAUAAAACCUUUGGGUCGCAUGACCUAACGGUCAAAGAUUAAUUGUCAUAGGAUGGGCCCGCGGCGCAUUAGCUAGUUGGUGAGGUAACGGCUCACCAAGGCGACGAUGCGUAGCCGACCUGAGAGGGUGAACGGCCACAUUGGGACUGAGACACGGCCCAGACUCCUACGGGAGGCAGCAGUGGGGAAUAUUGCACAAUGGGGGAAACCCUGAUGCAGCAACGCCGCGUGAGCGAUGAAGGCCUUCGGGUUGUAAAGCUCUGUCUUCAGGGACGAUAAUGACGGGUACCCUUGAAGGGGAAGGGAAAGGCCCAACGGGCCUAAACUUACGUGGCCAGCCAGCCGCGGUAAUACGUAGGUGGGCAAGCGUUGUCCGGGAAUUAUUGGGCGUAAAGGAUGCGUAGGCGGUCCUUUAAGUGGGAUGUGAAUCCCUGGGCUUAACCCAGGAUUAGCAUUCAAACUGGGAGGACUAGGAGUG